AAAUCAGUCCCUGAUUAGAGGGCAACAAUGAAAAAAUGCAUUGGAACUGGCUUCGAGGUCCAGAGAUGAGUUUAGCUGCACUAGAGCAGGGGUGUGAAACUCAUUCCAUGGAGGGCCGACUCUCUGUCAAGGGUGAAGCGAAAAUCCGCAGACACUCGGCCCUCUGUAGAAUGAGUUUGACACAUGUGGACUAGAGUUUUCAACAUGAUAUCAUAGGAAAACAUAAUCUUGAUCAUUUGAUUGUCUUCAUUUAACCCAAAAGAGGAAAGGAAACCGUGUCGCAGUCUGCCAAGAUUCUGUUUACUGACUCACUGGGACAAGAGAUACUGGGAGGAAGGUCAUUGCAGUAUUUCAAGCACACCUUACCUGGAAGCAUUGCAGGCCUGGGACAAAUGUAUGCAAAAUGCUUUUUAAUAUGUCUGAUGCACUUGACCUAGCUUGGCCAGCACAAUGGAACCAAAGAACAGUCCCAAACUUGAAAACUCCACCUCUGACUAGCUUGCACUCCGGUCAAGCUUAAUCAAGUGCACCACAAGUAAUUACAAGUACUGUAUUUAACUAAGGUGCAGUAAUGCCCUAAUGUCAGAUUACAAUAUACUAUGUGAUUCACAAUUGAACUAUCCAUCUACCGAGACAUUACUGGUGGGUGGAUCUUUUCAGUGUGAAAGUGCUCAUUAUAUUCCUCUGGUGUCUCUCAUGUUGACAAUGGUGCAAAUGAUUAUAGAGCAUCUAAAAAAAUAUGUACAAUUGAUUAAAGUUUUUGGGGCACAAGCA